UUCCUUCCUUCCUUCCUUCCUUCCUUCCUUCCUUCCUUCCUUCCUUCCUUCCUUCCUUCCUUCCUUCCUUCCUUCCUUCCUUCCUCUCAUGUGCACUCAAGCAUAACUUUGGUUAUUAUUCUCAGCCAUUUAAUCAUCACUACAUAUCUGAGGUCUAAUGUUUUCUGUUCUGUGGUUAAAACUAAAAACUUGUUUAUUUAAUUCAGCUCUGUUCAAAGUCUCUAAACUCUACACAUCACCUGCACGGGUAAAAAGGUCUCAGUGAACAAUAUGUAUACUGACUUAUAUUAACACACACACACACACACACACACACACACACACACACACACACACACACACACAUACACACACACACACACACAGAAAGAGAGAUACACACAGAGAGAGUGAGAGAGAGAGAGAGAGAGAGAGAGAGAGAGAGAGAGGGAAAGAGAGAGAGAGACAGGGAUGCAGUAACAUAAAGCGCAGAGACCGAUCUAAUCAGCGUGUGUAUAUAUAAGCCUCGGAAUGAAAUAUUAAAGAUGGCCGCCCCCGCGGUGCUCAUCCCUGCCUGCUCAAAAAUGGCCUCAGGACACACAGCAAAGCAAAAGAGCAACCAGAAACCACAGAGAGCAACAUUAACAGCCUCUUAAAAGAGAUGAUGAAGGAGGCUCAGAACACUGCUUCAUCAUGGACUGUCUACAAGGGAAAGUGUAACUGUGAUAUGGAAAUAAUAGACAGGAGUGAUCGCUAACGAUGUCGGUCGUCAGGGUGACACGUGGUCUGGGGCACGAGGGGGCACGAGGAGUGACCCAGUUACACCAACCACUGGUGAGAGAUCAUCAAAAAGGGGCAGAAAUCAUUUAAUAAUGCGCUCUGACACAAGUCAAAGGGAUGCCACCGUGUUUCACGACUUUUAUACAGAGAAUCCGUAAAAAGUGUGUGAUUACGACAGACAAUAACAACAGUAUAGCAUGAUGUAAAUAAACUCAUGGGAGGUUUUUAAUCAAUCGGCGUGUUUUAGACGUGUGUUUUUCCCUCUGUUGAUGAUCUUACACUGGAUUUUAGUGUCAAAGAGAAAUCUGAGCUGCUUUUUAGACGAACGAACGCUCGGAGCUUCUCAGAGAGCAGAAAUGGGUUCGAUAUCAACGUUUACUCUGAAGAUACAAACGUCUGUGUGGAGAAAAUUAAUGUUUUCUAUGAAUCUAUCACUUCUAGUAUUGUAGAGAAAAACAGAAAUAGUGAUGAAACUCUACACGUUCUUAAAGUCCUGCGUGUCUACUUACAUACGAGCUUCAUAUUAACACCACCGUGGAGCGAGACGUGAGGAAGACGUUCAGGAUAAAACAGGUGGAAAAUAAUGUUUUUUCCUCUGGAUUUAGUACGGUUUCUUUUCUGGUACCUGAGGAUCAACAAAAAUUCAUUCAUUCAUUCAUUCAUUCAUUUUCUACCGCUUAUCCGAACUUCUCGGGUCACGGGGAGCCUGUACCUAUCUCAGGCGUCA